GGAGGUGUCCGUCGGCCGGUGCCGGCCCCGGUCUUCAAAACCGGUGGACGUUGUCCCUUACGCGUCAGCGGGUUCGACUCCCGUCCACCUCCG
rnacentral:tRNA from 1 species